rnacentral:lncRNA from 1 species
UUCGACAUCAUGAGUUCACGUUUGUGAUUCUUAACAUUUUGUUAAAAAGCUUGUCGUUGUGACUAUUUCGUGGUAAUUCGAAUAUUAAUUCAAUAUCAAAAGCUUACAAGUUACAAAGAUAGCUUUUUUGUGAUAAUGUGAUCUAAAUACUAAUGAGACAGAACUAACUCGUCUUUGCGAUGAGUAGAGUGGCACAUUCCCGGUUUCGUCUUGGCUUGACUAGACAUCGAUGCCCAUAGAUUAAACUAUAUACAAAAAAAAAAAAAAACACAAUAACAUGAAAUACGAGUCAUGGUCCCCGUGUUAUUGUGUAUAAUAUGACUCGCAAUGUAGGAGGAUUAACUUAAAUUAUUAGUAUUAGUUUUGGAUAACACAAAUUAAACUAAUAGCUUUACCCCCUCCUCCAAUACUUUUUUAUAAGUGUCAAACAGGCGUCACGCCACUUAUAUAUACACAAGUUGCAACUAAGUGGACUGAUCUAUGCGAUUCCACAUAUGUGUACAUAUGAGUAUGCAUGACGAGAUGAUGACAUGUACAUUCUUUUGGGAGUGCGAGUUUGCAGCGGCAUUGACAUGGAUGUAAGUUUUUGUCACCUAGCUUUUUCCAAUUAAUAUGGCCAUGGUUGGAUCGGAUAUUUAUGGUUUACAGCAGCAAUAAUAUCUCUUAUUGUAAAUGUAAGUAAGCAAAUGCCAUUAAAUAUUUCACCCAACACUCUGUAACAUUACUGGUGGAUAUAUA